CGCGUAGGCGGCCUUGUAAGUCCCGUGUGAAAGCCCCCGGCUCAACUGGGGAACUGCACGGGAAACUGCGGGGCUUGAGUUCGGGAGAGGGAAGCGGAAUUCCGGGUGUAGCGGUGAAAUGCGUAGAUAUCCGGAGGAACACCAGUGGCGAAGGCGGCUUCCUGGACCGACACUGACGCUGAGGCGCGAAAGCUAGGGGAGCAAAACGG
rnacentral:rRNA from 1 species